rnacentral:snRNA from 1 species
GUGCUUGCUUCGGCAGCGCAUAUACUAAAAUUGGAACGAUACAGAUAAGAUUAGCAUGGCCCUUGUGCAAGGAUGACACGCAAAUUCGUGAACCGUUCCAUAUUUUU